CCUACGGGUGGCAGCAGUGGGGAAUAUUGCACAAUGGUGGAAACCCUGAUGCAGCGACGCCGCGUGAGUGAAGAAGUAAUUCGUUACGUAAAGCUCUAUCAGCAGGGAAGAAAUACUGACCUUACGGUCAGCAGACGGUACCUGAGUAAGAAGCCCCGGCUAACUACGUGCCAGCAGCCGCGGUAAUACGUAGGGGGCAAGCGUUAUCCGGCUUUACUGGGUGUAAAGGGGGCGUAGACGGUGCGACAAGUCUGGAGUGAAAUGCCGCAGCUUAACUGCGGAACUGCUUUGGAAACUGGCGAACGAGAGUGCGUGAGGGGUAAGCGGAAUUCCUAGUGUAGCGGUGAAAUGCGUAGAUAGUAGGAGGAACACCGGUGGCGAAGGCGGCUUACUGGACCGUAACUGACGUUGAGGCUCGAAAGCGUGGGGAGCAAACAGGAUUAGAUACCCCAGUAGUC
rnacentral:rRNA from 1 species